rnacentral:snoRNA from 1 species
CUCAUAUGAUGAGGAAAUUAAACGGCGAUAUUGUACUUUCAUUAUCCCUACUUCUUAAUCUCUGAAAGUAUGUAUAUAAAAAUAAUGAAAGUGAAUGAGGGCCAAAAAAAUGAGUAGUUCUCAAUCUGAUAAAA